ACCCCCCUAGUAUAAUAGUACAAGUGACUUCCAAUCACUAAGUUUUAGAAUAAUUCCUAAAGAGAGGUA
rnacentral:tRNA from 1 species